rnacentral:rRNA from 1 species
GACGAACGCUGGCGGCGUGCUUAACACAUGCAAGUCGAACGAUGAACUUGGAGCUUGCUCUGGGGGAUUAGUGGCGAACGGGUGAGUAACACGUGAGUAACCUGCCCUGGACUCUGGGAUAACCCCGAGAAAUCGGAGCUAAUACCGGAUAGGACCUUUCCUCGCAUGAGGUGGGGUGGAAAGUUUUUUCGGUUUGGGAUGGACUCGCGGCCUAUCAGCUUGUUGGGGAGGUAAUGGCUCACCAAGGCGUCGACGGGUAGCCGGCCUGAGAGGGUGAGCGGCCACACUGGGACUGAGACACGGCCCAGACUCCUACGGGAGGCAGCAGUGGGGAAUAUUGCACAAUGGGCGCAAGCCUGAUGCAGCAACGCCGCGUGCGGGAUGACGGCCUUCGGGUUGUAAACCGCUUUUAGUAGGGAAGAAGCCUCUUGGGGUGACGGUACCUGCAGAAAAAGGACCGGCUAACUACGUGCCAGCCGCCGCUGUAAAAC